GAAACUUUUCACCGUUAAAGAAACAAUCAACUUACCGGCCACGAUAACUGGAGACGUUACGGGAGAGACUCAAUCGAAGGGUCAUCUUUAACGAUGUCAGGAUUUGUCAUUGAAUGCGUCUCCAUUACUUCUUUUCGGUGAAUCUUCGACUAUAAAAAGGACUGAGUUCGGAUACGAGUCGACCGAUUGGCUCGAUAGAUGUAGCUUCACAGUCUCUGGGUCGUAGAACGCUGCUACGAAGAAACGUUCCUGGCUGAAGCUUGUGGAAGACAUCUAAAUCCGUAUACGUACUUCGUUUGAGGUAAUCUGUGGACCUGUAACCAAUCCUCCAUCUCCCUGGCUACAAAGGUUUCUGGGGAUUUUGGAGAAAAUAGAGGAGCUGAGCUAUGGUGGAAAAGUUAGAAGCUUUCAGAAAUGCAAGUUUACCCUGAUUCCUUUAUUGUUUACAUAAGUCUCCACAAUUACUUUGCUAUAUUUACUCUCAAUUCUUGGACCUUUGACUUUCCUUACUUCAUUGCACCGCAGACUGCUGAGUGGUGCUCAGGUAUAUGCUACCAAUACAAUCUCUAUAUUAUGGACUGUGUUUUGAUGAGUUGUCGCUGUCACUGCUACCAGCUACAUUGGUGACAAUAAGCUAAAGGCGGAUUCAAACCACCUGAAAGAGGCCAAAGAAAAAACUUGAAUCUUUUGGUCUGACAGUGGAUUUGAUGGGUGGGUUUGACAAAUGGCAUGAGUGUUUCUAGAGCUUGAAAACCCAUCUAAUCUGAAGUAUACUAAGACCUAAGGAGUCUAACGUUAUUGCUACGAACCUUAGCAAGAAUGUAAAACAGUCUCGGGUUUUUAAUGGACUACGGGAACAAGGAUUGAGUUCAUAAGUCUGUGAUUACAUUCAUGCGAUCUUCUUGAAGGUAGUACGUUCUCUGUAUCUGUUAGUAAUAUAUACUAACUCCAACGACUAUUUUACUUUGGUCCAUUGUUGUAGAUAGAUUGAGGUGACAAACGCGGCCAUAGCAUCGUUAGAAAAAAAAUGCGGGAGGGAAGAUAGCCACAUUGCAGCUGGUGCACAUGCAGUGUAAUUACCUUAUUGUUUACUACUUCAAGAAGCUUCUCGGGAAGUAAGAUAGCCACGUUGCAGCUGGUGGACAUGGAGGGCAAUUAACUUACUGUUGAUUUCUUCAAGAAGCUUCUACAGCUUGGAGAAUGCCCACUGUUUUGUUCGGUUGUAGUCGGUGGUUCAGACCCGGAGGAAACUUCUAUGUAAUUUAAUUUUUGUGAGAUGAUCUACCCGGGAAGACAUCAUGCCGUAUUUAUUUUACUACAACAACACAGUUUGUUCUGAUGACUCUUUCUUUGUCUGCGCUUUUGACCAUUAAUUACCU